rnacentral:rRNA from 1 species
UACGAAGGGGGCUAGCGUUGUUCGGAUUUACUGGGCGUAAAGCGCACGUAGGCGGGUCGUUAAGUCAGGGGUGAAAUCCCGGAGCUCAACUCCGGAACUGCCUUUGAUACUGGCGACCUUGAGGCUGGAAGAGGUUAGUGGAAUUCCCAGUGUAGAGGUGAAAUUCGUAGAUAUUGGGAAGAACACCAGUGGCGAAGGCGGCUAACUGGUCCAGAUCUGACGCUGGGGUGCGAAAGCGUGGGGAGCAAACAGG